rnacentral:sRNA from 1 species
GAAUUACAACAAGAAAUUGAAUUUCAGAAGUGGAAAGCUAAAUAACCAUUUAGAAGCUGCUAUUCAUGAGGCCAUGAGUGAACUGGACAAAAUGUCUGGG